GGAGGGUAGCCUGAGCGGUUAAAGGAACGGUUUGCUAAACCGUGAUCACGAAAGUGGUCGGUGGGUUCGACUCCCACACCCUCCG
rnacentral:tRNA from 1 species